rnacentral:misc_RNA from 1 species
AAGUCGUAACAAGGUAACCGUAGGUGAACCUGCGGUUGGAUCAUUAAACAAACCAAGGUGGAGGGUGGACGGCUUGCCGUGCACUCUCGGAACGCCACACAUCUUGUGAACCCUCAAACCCGUCCGGCGGGGGAGGGAUGGGAGGCCUCUCCGGUCUUCCGUCUCUCCGUCAGCACAGGCAACCUCGGUUGUUUUGUGCCGUGGACAACCCGCCCACCCAACCCCAGAGACUGUUUUCCCGGGAACUGUUUCCCGGGAAGAUGGUCUAAGGGGUUGAUUUUGACCAACUUUUUGGAUCUUUACGAAUUGUGAAUUGCUUCUGAGAAUGCGAUGGUGCAAUUGCGCCGUCUAUUUGGAAACAAACAUUCAAAAACAACUUUUGGCAACGGAUCUCUUGGCUCUC